rnacentral:rRNA from 1 species
CCCUUAGAUGUUCUGGGCCGCACGCGUGCUACACUGAUGCAUUCAACGAGUCUAAAACCUGGUCUGAUCGGGCUGGGUAAUCUUUUGAAAGUGCAUCGUGAUUGGGAUAGAUGAUUGCAAUUCUUCAUCUUCAACGAGGAAUGCCUAGUAAACGCAAGUCAUCAGCUUGCAUUGAUUACGUCCCUGCCCUUUGUACACACCGCCCGUCGCUCCUACCGAUUGAAUGAUCCGAUGAAUACCAUGGAUUGAGAGUACGAAUAGGUUCGCUUAUUUCUGCUGCUCGAGAAGUGGAGUAAAUCUUAUCAUUUAGAGGAAGGAGAAGUCGUAACA